GUGUGUGUGUGAGAGAGUGUUUCUGUAGGUGUGUGUGUGCGCGUGUGUGUGUUUCUGUAGGUGUGUGCGUGUGAGUGUGUGUGUGCGCGUGUGUGUGUUUCUGUAGGUGUGUGUGUGUGUGUGUGUGUUUCUGUAGGUGUAGGUGUGUGUGUGUGUGUAUGCGCAUGUGUGUGUGUUUCUGUAGGUGUAGGUGUGUGUGUGUGUGUGUGUGUGUGUGUGUAUGUGUGUGUGUGUGUUUCUGUAGGUGUGUGUGUGUGUUUCUGUAGGUGUGUGUGUGCGUGCGCGUGAGUGUGUGUGCGCGCGCGUGUGUGUUUCUGUAGGUGUAGGUGUGUGUGUGUAUGCGCGCGUGUGUGUGUGUGUGUGUGU
ensembl:lncRNA